CCUACGGGAGGCUGCAGUGGGGAAUAUUGGGCAAUGGGCGCAAGCCUGACCCAGCAACGCCGCGUGCAGGAAGAAGGCUUUAGGGUUGUAAACUUCUUUUAUCACGGACGUAACAAGUGACGGUACCUGAUGAAUAAGCCUAGGCUAACUACGUGCCAGCAGCCGCGGCAAUACGGAGGUGGCAAGCGUUACCCGGAUUGACUGGGUGUAAAGGGCGUGUAGGCGGGAGUGCAAGUCAGAUGUGAAAACUAUGGGCUCAACCCAUAGCCUGCAUUUGAAACGGGACUUCUUGAGUGCUGGAGAGGAAAGCGGAAUUCGGGGUGUAGCGGUGAAAUGCGUAGAUAUACGGAGGAACACCAGUGGCGAAGGCGGAUUGCUGGACAGUAACUGACGCUGAGGCGCGAAAGCGUGGGGAGCGAACAGGAUUAGAUACCCGAGUAGUC
rnacentral:rRNA from 1 species